AUUGAACGCUGGCGGCAUGCUUUACACAUGCAAGUCGAACGGUAACAGGCCGCAAGGUGCUGACGAGUGGCGAACGGGUGAGUAAUGCAUCGGAACGUGCCCAGUCGUGGGGGAUAACGCAGCGAAAGCUGCGCUAAUACCGCAUACGAUCUAUGGAUGAAAGCGGGGGACAGUAAGGCCCCGCGCGAUUGGAGCGGCCGAUGUCAGAUUAGGGAGUUGGUGGGGUAAAGGCGCACCAAGCCAACGAUCUGUAGCUGGUCUGAGAGGACGACCAGCCACACUGGGACUCAGACACGGCCCAGACUCCUACGGGAGGCAGCAGUGGGGAAUUUUGGACAAUGGGCGCAAGCCUGAUCCAGCAAUGCCGCGUGCAGGAAGAAGGCCUUCGGGUUGUAAACUGCUUUUGUACGGAACGAAACGGUCCUGGUUAAUACCUGGGGCUAAUGACGGUACCGUAAGAAUAAGCACCGGCUAACUACGUGCCAGCAGCCGCCGUAACAC
rnacentral:rRNA from 1 species